AAUGUGUUCUGUUUAAUACAUUUCAUAUAUGUAAAAAUAGCAUAUAAAAGAUACGUAAAUGUACUACUAUUUGAUACGUAUCAUUAACUGUGUAACGAUAUGUAUCGUAUUUGUAGCUGAUAUAUAUAAGUGAUAUUUAAAUUGGACGUGAUAGAACGAAUUGUGCGUUUGUGCAGUCGUAGUGUCGCAUUAAAAGUUAUUCACAAGUAUCGCGCACAUGAUUGCAAAAUAUAUCUGAGCGUAACACCUGAUCCAACAACAUGGGAAAUUUAUGACGUAGAGGUUGAAGGAUUUUAUGGAACUGUGCAACUGGCAAGAAAAAAAGCCGAAAACAGCAACUGCACUUCUACUGAAGAGAA